rnacentral:rRNA from 1 species
GACGUAGGGCGCGAGCGUUGUCCGGAUUUAUUGGGCGUAAAGAGCUCGUAGGCGGUUUGUCGCGUCUGCUGUGAAAACUGGAGGCUCAACCUCCAGCCUGCAGUGGGUACGGGCAGACUAGAGUGCGGUAGGGGAGAUUGGAAUUCCUGGUGUAGCGGUGGAAUGCGCAGAUAUCAGGAGGAACACCGAUGGCGAAGGCAGAUCUCUGGGCCGUAACUGACGCUGAGGAGCGAAAAGCAUGGGGGGAGCGAAACAGG